UGGGGAAUUUUGGACAAUGGGCGCAAGCCUGAUCCAGCAAUGCCGCGUGCAGGAUGAAGGCCUUCGGGUUGUAAACUGCUUUUGUACGGAGCGAAAAGGUCUGCCCUAAUACGGUGGGCUCAUGACGGUACCGUAAGAAUAAGCACCGGCUAACUACGUGCCAGCAGCCGCGGUAAUACGUAGGGUGCGAGCGUUAAUCGGAAUUACUGGGCGUAAAGCGUGCGCAGGCGGUUAUAUAAGACAGAUGUGAAAUCCCCGGGCUCAACCUGGGACCUGCAUUUGGGACUGUAUAGCUAGAGUACGGUAGAGGGGGAUGGAAUUCAGCGUGUAGCAGUGAAAUGCGUAGAUAUGCGGAGGAACACCGAUGGCGAAGGCAAUCCCCUGGACCUGUACUGACGCUCAUGCACGAAAGCGUGGGGAGCAAACA
rnacentral:rRNA from 1 species